rnacentral:misc_RNA from 1 species
GAUUAAGAACGCAGUGAAAUGCGAUAAGUAAUGUGAAUUGCAGAAUUCAGUGAAUCAUCGAAUCUUUGAACGCACAUUGCGCCCGCCAGUAUUCUGGCGGGCAUGCCUGUUCGAGCGUCAUUUCAACCCUCAAGCCCCAGCGGCCUGGUGUUGGGGACCGGCGACCUCGCCCGAGCCCGCCCUCCGGGGCGCGUGCCCGGUGCGUCCGCCGCCCCCGAAAUGAAUUGGCGGCCUCGUCGCGGCCUCCUCUGCGUAGUAGCACAACCUCGCAAGCGGGAGCGCGACGCGGCCACUGCCGUAAAACGCCCAACUUUUUUAGAGUUGACCUCGGAUCAGGUAGGAAUACCCGCUGAACUUAAGCAUAUCAAUAAGCGGAGGA